rnacentral:rRNA from 1 species
GGUGUCGGGGAUUACCCCCUGCGGUGCCGCAACGAACGCAUUCAGUAAUCCAGCUGGGAAGAACGCGCGCAAGGGUGAAUGUCAAAGGAAUUGACGGAGAACCGCACAAUUAGCAGGGCAAGUUGGUUAAUUCGAAGCAACGCGAAGAACCUUACCUAAGCUUGACAUCACAAUGACAUCUCCUUAAUCGGAGAGUUCCCGUCGGGGACGAUGUUGACAAGUUGGGCAUAGUUGUUGUCAGCUCGUAUCGUCCGAUGCUUGUUGAAGUCUGACAACGCGGGCAAAGAUUGUCUUUAAUUUCCCUCAUUUAGUUGGGCACUCCAGACAAACUGCCCGGGCGAGCCUGGUGGAAGGUGGGCAUGACGUCCACUAAUCAUGCACCUUAAGCUUAAGGACACAC